GAACCUACGGGAGGCAGCAGUGAGGAAUAUUGGUCAAUGGGCGGAAGCCUGAACCAGCCAAGUCGCGUGAGGGAAUAAGGCCCUACGGGUCGUAAACCUCUUUUGCCGGGGAGCAAGGGCGGGGACGUGUCCCGGCCCGGAGAGUACCCGGAGAAAAAGCAUCGGCUAACUCCGUGCCAGCAGCCGCGGUAAUACGGAGGAUGCGAGCGUUGUCCGGAAUUACUGGGUGUAAAGGGAGUGUAGGCGGGAAAGCAAGUCAGAAGUGAAAACAAUGGGCUUAACCCAUAGCCUGCUUUUG
rnacentral:rRNA from 1 species